GACGAACGCUGGCGGCGUGCUUAACACAUGCAAGUCGAGCGGAAACGCCACUUCUGUGGUCCUCGAGCGGCGAACGGGUGAGUAACACGUCCUUAAUCUGCCCCUGGCUUUGCGAUAGCCACCGGAAACGGUGAUUAAUACCGCAUAUGACACAUUCUCCCCUGUGUUUGUGUCGAACGUUUUUCGGCCUGGGAUGUGCUCGCGGCCUGUCCGCUUGCCGGUGUGGUAAUGGCUUACCAUGGCUUCGACGGGUAGCCUGCCUGGGAGGGUGACCGGACACGCUGGGACGGAAAUACGACACAGACUAGAACGGUAGGCAAGAGAGCGGAAGAGUGGACAAGAGGCGGAAGGAAGAUCCGACAAAGCAGCGUGGGGGAAGACGGGCUGCGGGUUGGAAACCAAAGUCAGUAUAGACGAAGUGAAAGUGACGGUAGCGAGAGAAGAAGCACCGGCUAACUACGUG
rnacentral:rRNA from 1 species